UACGAAGGGGGCGAGCGUUGUUCGGAAUUACUGGGCGUAAAGGGCGCGCAGGCGGUCCUUCAAGUCAGAUGUGAAAGCCCCGGGCUCAACCUGGGAACAGCAUUUGAUACUGAGGAUCUUGAGUACGGGAGAGGUGAGUGGAACUGCGAGUGUAGAGGUGAAAUUCGUAGAUAUUCGCAAGAACACCAGUGGCGAAGGCGGCUCACUGGCCCGUAACUGACGCUGAGGCACGAAAGCGUGGGGAGCAAACAGG
rnacentral:rRNA from 1 species